CUCUGUGACUCCUACGGGAGGCAGCAGUGGGGAAUAUUCGCACAAUGGGGGAAACCCUGAUGCAGCCAUGCCGCGGUGUGUGAAGAAGGCCUUCGGGUUGUAAAGCACUUUCAGUAGGGAGGAAGGUAGUGUAGUUAACACCUGCAUUACUUUGACGUUACCUACAGAAGAAGCACCGGCUAACUCCGUGCCAGCAGCCGCGGUAAUACGGAGGGUGCGAGCGUUAAUCGGAAUUACUGGGCGUAAAGCGCAUGCAGGCGGCCUGUUAAGUCAGAUGUGAAAGCCCGGGGCUUAACCUCGGAAUUGCAUUUGAAACUGGCAGGCUAGAGUCUUGUAGAGGGGGUAGAAUUUCAGGUGUAGCGGUGAAAUGCGUAGAGAUCUGAAGGAAUACCAGUGGCGAAGGCGGCCCCCCUGGACAAAGACUGACGCUCAGAUUCGCGAAAGCGUGGGGAGCAAACAGGAUUAGAUACCCCUGUAG
rnacentral:rRNA from 1 species